AGUUUGAUCCUGGCUCAGGAUGAACGCUAGCGGCAGGCUUAACACAUGCAAGUCGAGGGGUAACAUUGUAGCUUGCUACAGAUGACGACCGGCGCACGGGUGCGUAACGCGUAUAGAACCUACCUUUUACUGGAGAAUAGCCUUUAGAAAUGAAGAUUAAUGCUCCAUAGUAUUGCGACUCGGCAUCGGGUUGUAAUUAAAGAUUUAUUGGUAAAAGAUGGCUAUGCGUCCUAUUAGUUAGAUGGUAAGGUAACGGCUUACCAUGACAUCGAUAGGUAGGGGUCCUGAGAGGGAGAUCCCCCACACUGGUACUGAGACACGGACCAGACUCCUACGGGAGGCAGCAGUGAGGAAUAUUGGACAAUGGGCGCAAGCCUGAUCCAGCCAUCCCGCGUGCAGGAUGACUGCCCUAUGGGUUGUAAACUGCUUUUAUACAGGAAGAAACCACCCUACGUGUAGGGUGCUGACGGUACUGUAAGAAUAAGGACCGGCUAACUCCGUGCCAGCAGCCGCGGUAAUACGGAGGGUCCGAGCGCUAUCCGGAAUCAUUGGGUUUAAAGGGUCCGUAGGCGGACUAUUAAGUCAGAGGUGAAAUCCCACAGAUUAACAGUGGAACUGCCUUUGAUACUGCUGGUCUUGAAUACGGUUGAAGUAGGCGGAAUGUAGCAUGUAGCGGUGAAAUGCAUAGAGAUGCUACAGAACACCGAUCGCGAAGGCAGCUUACUAAGCCGAUAUUGACGCUCAGGCACGAAAGCGUGGGGAGCGAACAGGAUUAGAUACCCUGGUAGUCCACGCCGUAAACUAUGAUCACUCGUUGUUGGCAAUACACAGUCAGUGACCAAGGGAAACCGAUAAGUGAUCCACCUGGGGAGUACGAUCGCAAGGUUGAAACUCAAAGGAAUUGACGGGGGCCCGCACAAGCGGUGGAGCAUGUGGUUUAAUUCGAUGAUACGCGAGGAACCUUACCUGGGCUCAAAUGUAAGUUGACAGGUCCUGAAAGGGAUUUUUCUUCGGACAAUUUACAAGGUGCUGCAUGGUUGUCGUCAGCUCGUGCCGUGAGGUGUCGGGUUAAGUCCCAUAACGAGCGCAACCCCUACUCUUAGUUGCCAGCAUGUAAUGAUGGGGACUCUAGGAGAACUGCCUACGCAAGUAGAGAGGAAGGUGGGGAUGACGUCAAAUCAGCACGGCCCUUACGUCCAGGGCUACACACGUGCUACAAUGGCCGGUACAGAGGGCAGCCACCUGGUGACAGGGAGCGAAUCUCAAAAGCCGGUCUCAGUUCGGAUCGAAGUCUGCAACCCGACUUCGUGAAGCUGGAAUCGCUAGUAAUCGCGCAUCAGCCAUGGCGCGGUGAAUACGUUCCCGGGCCUUGUACACACCGCCCGUCAAGCCAUGGAAGCUGGGGGUACCUGAAGUCAGUGACCAUUUAGGAGCUGCCUAGGGUAAAACUAGUGACUGGGGCUAAGUCGUAACAAGGUAACC
rnacentral:rRNA from 1 species